rnacentral:rRNA from 1 species
UGGCGGACGGGUGAGUAAUGUCUGGGAAACUGCCCGAUGGAGGGGGAUAACUACUGGAAACGGUAGCUAAUACCGCAUAACGUCGCAAGACCAAAGCGGGGGACCUCCGGGCCUCGCGCCAUCGGAUGUGCCCAGAUGGGAUUAGCUAGUAGGUGGGGUAACGGCUCACCUAGGCGACGAUCCCUAGCUGGUCUGAGAGGAUGACCAGCCACACUGGAACUGAGACACGGUCCAG